rnacentral:tRNA from 1 species
GGCAGAAUAGUGUAAAGAUUUAAAAGCACAGAUUCUAACUCCAGAUUUUCUGGGCUCAAAUCCCAGCUCUGCCA